UUAAUAAAAAUAUUCUUGUUUACAUAAAUUUUAUUUACGUUAUUAAUUUGAUAGAUAAUUUUGUUGAAGGUCAUUGACUUUGGGUUAGAUAGUUGCAUAAUUUUUAAUUUAAAUUGAUAUUGCAAGAUAUUGUUCUUAUCUAAGUUGUGUUAUGAUCACUUUCUAAUGUGGUUAGUUUAAUUGUUAUAUUGUAAUGCCGCUUGUUGCCUGGCAGGAAAAUAGAAAAUAGUCUCUUGCAUUAUAAUUAUUUUUGUUGUCCAAAGCUCAUAAGCAGCCUAAUAUAGUGAGCAUAAUUUUGGUUUUGGUUGUUGUUGGUUUUUGGGCAUUUUUUCCAUCCGCUGAGCCAAACCAGUUUUUUUUUUGCUCAAACAUAUGUACAUUUGUACACACAUAAAUUGGCUGGUACUACAUGCCCAUCACUGUGCAUAAAGUUCUCAUUCACGGCAGCAAAAUGGUAUCUGAGGCUAUAUUGCCAAUAGGUUUGUUUGCAAUUUUUAUUUUUGAAAGUAUUUUUUUAAACUUUAUUUAAUAUUAACUUUUUUUUUGCUACAGGAAUGUUAUCCGAAGAAGCGCAAAAAGCAAUGAAUAAGGAGUGUAGAAACUGUAGGCUAUUCCAUUCUCGUAAAAAUUCACGUAGUUCUACGAAUGAAGAUGUAAUGCAAUAUUUGCAAAUAUCAUCAGAUCCUUAUAUUAAUUCAUUUAGAAUGAGAAACAAAUUGAAAAAAUUAGAAUACCAUGAUGAUGUUAAAAAAUUAUUGAUUGAAUGAAAAAAAAUAUAUUGUUUUUUUUUUAUUGCAUUUCAAUGGGAGGUGGGUGUAUUAGUGGGCGUGUUAUUGUAAUUUUCGCAUGAAACAUUUUAAAUGAUAUAAAUUACAGUAAUAUAGAAUUUGAAGGAUGUAUUUAAUAUAUUUUAGAAAAUAUGGCUCUUUUUAUGUUGAGGUAGUAUGGGUGAUAGGGUUAAAAGUGGGCCAAAGUUCAAUUCUUAUUUCAAAUAAUGUUUGUAACUAUAUAACAUUCAAGUAUAUCAAAAUUGAAAGUUAUACCUAAAGUAUUACGGACAAUACGGCAUUUUACAAAUUUCGACUGUAUGGCAGGUGGGCGUAAAAGUGGGCGAAUUUUCUUAAUUUUUUUUUUUAAACUGGAAUUGUCUCAAAAAUAACCUGUGCAAAAUUUCAGAGCUUUACAAUGACUCCUUGUAUUUAAUGCCGGCGUUGUCUCACUGUGCGACGUCGGCUUCGAACAAGAAUAUUAGGGCUUACCACUUUUACGUGCUAAAAAUUAAUAUCAAGAAUCCUCAUUCAGCAGACGUCUUUCCAAAAGAGCGAGUUCCACACCACAAGGACUUCGGACUGAUUCCUCUACGAACAACCGCUUGCGGCUGAAGACCAUACGAACUUCCUAAAACCAAGAAGAAGAAACGUUGCCACAAACUCUUCAUUCCCUUGCUUCCACAACCUACGAUAUCUAUCGUUGUUACAAAACCUGUAUUAUGGAACACCAUAUUUGUGCGCUGUCAUAAAACACCAACGACAGAAGAGGACCAACACGCUUCAAAGAUUUAACUUUUCCCAAAAAGUAUAUUCUUAGGAGUAGUAGAUUGUAUCCACACUGUAUGUUUCAAACACUUUCCACGGUUCCUUAUUUUUUAAUAUUUUCAAAUUUUAGUUUGUCUCGUCGAAUUUACUCCACGAGCUCAAUCUUUCAAUGGAUUUUUAAAUUAUAACUAGUUAAAAUAGUUUUAAAUUAUAAAGAAAAUAGAAAAAACACUUCAACCGACAUUUUUUUUGUGGUAAAAUUGAAAACCAUAAUACCGAAUUUCAAAACUUCAACCAAAAUGCGGUUUGGUUGAAACACGUAAUAGGGACAUAAACUAAAGAAUUUUUAAAUAUUAUGAUUUAAUUUUCUAUAUUUCAUAUUAAAAUACGCCUUGUUCGGUCUCAUUUAUAGCUUUUACUACCGUAAAUUGAUCAAGCAUUAUAGUCCAUAUUAAUUUCAAAACACGCCUAUAUGUACCAAUAUGACAAAAUCUUGGCAUUUUUCUGCAUUCACAAAUACAUAUCGUCACCUGAAAUGCAAAACAAUGUAUCAUCAAAAAAUUCGAAAUGGAAUGUUUCAUUGAUUACGAUCCACUACUGGAAAUUACAUACAUAUACGUACAUAUGCCCAACAUUUUAAGGUUCUGUUAUCUGAUAUAACCCAGUUUUAACCAAUAUUUAAAUUUUUUUUCGCUCUUGUUCCAUUUUAUGACGUGUUUUAUUUUUUCCCCCGUAAAUUUCCGAAAAUGUUGUUACGUUAUUUUGCAUUUUAGUUGACGAUAUAUUUACUUCUAUAAAUGUGAAUAAAGAAAAAUGU